rnacentral:lncRNA from 1 species
UCGCAUAAAAACUGCAAAACAAUCGAUUGCCAAUGAUCAACAAUCGAUUGUCUUUAAAACAGCGUGAUCUGGAAUUUUACAAAAACAGUCAACAAACGAUUGUCUAUGAUUAACAAUCGAUUGUCUUUAAAACAGUGUGUUCUGGAAUUUUUCAAAAAAUCAUCCACAAUCGAUUGUCUAUGUCUAACAAUCGAUUGUCG